AUAUUUAAUUGUCAGAGGUGAAAUUCUUGGAUUUAUCGAAAGAUUAACUUCUGCGAAAGCAUCUGCCAAGGAUGUUUUCAUUAAUCAAGAACGAAAGUUAGGGGAUCGAAGACGAUCAGAUACCGUCGUAGUCUUAACCAUAAACGAUGCCGACCAUCGAUUAGGAGACGUUGAAUACAAAACACCACCAUCGGUGCGGUCGUCCUUGGCGUCGGUCUUUCUGGGCCGGCGCGGGGACGGUUUAGCCCGGUGGCACCGGUGAAUGACUCCCUACGUCUUGGUCAAAUUUCCCCCCCCCCC
rnacentral:rRNA from 1 species